rnacentral:lncRNA from 1 species
AAAUAACUUGGGGGUCUUCGGCAAAAUCUGUAAGGGACAUUUUAAACAAUAAUCAAUAAUGAGAAAAUAAUCACCAACAGAAUCAAACGAUGAUUCCAAAGGAAUUAUUGAUAGUAAUAUCAUCGAUGAUCAUUGACAGGUAAAAAUUACUAUGAACAAGAUCACUGUUACAACUCAAGACGGCAAGACCCAAGAUUGACACUAAGAAAAAUUACAGAACCACGACCAAAACCAAAAGCAUCAAGAUCUCAUCAAUCGAGCUCAGAAUUUGCAUUGUACCCGUCUGUAUGGUGUUAAUAGCGCAUAAUCUGCAAUUUA